rnacentral:rRNA from 1 species
GACGAACGCUGGCGGCGUGCUUAACACAUGCAAGUCGAACGGAAAGGCCCUGCUUUUGUGGGGUGCUCGAGUGGCGAACGGGUGAGUAACACGUGAGUAACCUGCCCUUGACUUUGGGAUAACUUCAGGAAACUGGGGCUAAUACCGGAUAGGAGCUCCUGCUGCAUGGUGGGGGUUGGAAAGUUUCGGCGGUUGGGGAUGGACUCGCGGCUUAUCAGCUUGUUGGUGGGGUAGUGGCUUACCAAGGCUUUGACGGGUAGCCGGCCUGAGAGGGUGACCGGCCACAUUGGGACUGAGAUACGGCCCAGACUCCUACGGGAGGCAGCAGUGGGGAAUAUUGCACAAUGGGCGGAAGCCUGAUGCAGCAACGCCGCGUGCGGGAUGACGGCCUUCGGGUUGUAAACCGCUUCCGCCUGUGACGAAGCGUGAGUGACGGUAAUGGGUAAAGAAGCACCGGCUAACUACGUG